GGAGGAAUGGACAGAGACAGGUUUAUCAACCCAUAUGGUGGGAGAGGCAACAUAUAUCAUCAGACUUCUGGUGAUCAAGAAGAAAAAUGGAAGCAUGACCUCUAUGAUCAGUCAAACAGGAGCCCACCUCCAAAGACCGAGGAAGAGCAGAUUGCUAAAGUUGAAGCGUUGUUGGCGCUGUAGUUAUCUUCUCUAUCCGUCUGGAGUUAUUUGUGAUGUUAGAUCAUCAUGUAUUUGGUUUCAUCUUUGUUGAACGCUGUCCUUUUAUUCUAUAUAUUUUGCGUAUCUAUGGGGAUUAGGACAUCGUUGAGCUAUUCCAUUUAGAGUGAAGGUAUUGUUCUAGACAAUCAUGAUUCACGAGUUUCGUACUGUGGGAACCAUGGAGCAAAGUACAAGAGUAAAGAAUAUGCUUCACGAAUGCUUUUGGAGCUGGAAUGCCUCUUUAGCGUGUUGACCUCGUGUUGAAGUUGUACUCGGACUGUGUGGGCAAAUUGCACACAGCCACGCGACACAAUCUAUUCUCGUUGGGGUUAUGGUAAGUACAUUGGUGUUGAUCUCAUGUAAUCUUGAGACAACUUAAUAAACAAUCUUGAGACAAUUUAAUAAAAAAUUUGUACAAGGGUUGCCUUUUUAAGUUGUCUCAUAAUAAUUCUAUUUUCUUAAUUUAUGCAUAGAAAAAAAGAAAUAUUAUGAGUUGUAUAAUAACCACAACUUGUACAGUGGUGGAGUAGUCGUCUCAUAGUCCUAAAGUCUAGCCUAUGAGAUGGUUGUUUCACAAAACAACAACAUCUUUCUCUCCUUUCCCUCUCUCAUCCAUAUUAGUAAAAAUCCUACAUGGCAUUGCACGAGACGACCUACAAAACUGCUGAGGUGUAGUAAUGUACUUGCUCUAAGCGUAAUGCCUCUUCACUGGGUAUUGCACCAUCCUCGAGGAACAUCCCAAUUCCCAAAAUUCCAAAGGCAUUAAGUCAAUUAAGGCAUAAUCUUUGAUUAAUAGCUUGAUUUGUGCUGUCAUAACCAUGUAAUGCAAGAAAACUCAUCUAUGAAUUGAGGACACUUAGUUGGUUAGGUUACUGUGGUGUAACCUUCGUCUUUGAAUUUGAUGAUUAUAUUUUCUUUAGAUUAAAUGAUUAUAUUUUCUUUAGAUUAAAUCCCCAGCUGCACUAAUGCGCAGGAACAUGGAUGCUUUUAGAAAAUUUUAUAGUUUUAUGUAAGGAACCCAAACUAUAUAUUCACGAUGAAAUGUUUCUUUCUCUUUAUAAACUCUAUGUUACGUCACCCAAAUAUUAGAUGUGGUGAUUUAUUUAAGAGAAUGUAUCCUUAUCAAUUGUUUGAGAGUUUUCCUUAAUCGUGGUUUUGUAACUGUUGGAUACCGAUCUACCUAUUCGUUUGCCUCUCCCAUUUCUUCUUCCUCCCUCAACCUUCCCCACGUGACCUUCUUCCGACGUUUAACCCUGACGUUGGGCGUGACGUCCUCGCCACAACCACCUCCCACCUGGCUCCAACGUCCAUGCUCCCUCCUCCACCGCCCUGCCACUAUCCAAUGCGAAUCUAUAAGAUCCAGAUGCUGCUGUUGCCUCCACCGUACGUUGGGGGGUCUUACCAUCCAGCCCCGGUGACGCCCUCGUUGUCUCUGUUCUACCGUCGCUCUCACACCUCCACCGCUAGUAGGCGAGCCGCCUGGAGCUCCUUUAUUCCCAAAGCCACAUGUGACCCAUCUCCACUCGCAAACCCUAACCCUGAAUCCUUCUCUCCAAUUCAGUACCACUAAAAAUUACGUUGACUAACGAGAAAACUCUUGUAUUGAAGAAAACUCGAUGACACAAGAGGCCCAUAAAUCCACACCUGCAUUGAAGAAAACUCUUGUAUUGGAGGAGAAAAGCAAUGACAUACAGUCAAAAACUCGUUCGAAGAGCUCAAUAGAUUCAUUGUCAGCACAUGACAUGUUGCUAUCAACUCUGCUCAAACCAUGCCUUGCAACACGACUAAGUGAUUUAAGUAGGUUCAGAGAUAUUGAAAUGGAUGGCUUCUUUUCAAUACAAACUCUCAAAAUUACCCAGCAUCUACUAUCCAAUGCCGGAUCAAAAGGCUGUGACAUCUUUUUACUAUUCUCAGGAAAAUUUAAGAUAGACUGCACCCAGUUUCCAAUAAAUGACACCAGACGUGAUAGCUGAAUGCUGUGCACCGUAUGGCCAUGGCUUGAGUUCUUUGACAGUGUGGUUAAAAAUUCAACUGCUAGCUCAAUCUUUCUGCACAAAUAAACAUGUCGUUACGAAGAUUCCAAACAAGAAGAUUAAAAUAAGGUAAAUCCAAACAUGAUUCAAACAAUUUAUCCCAUGAGUAAAAUAGCACCAAAAUGCUCACUUCCGUAUGAAUCAAAGAGAUCCCAUUGGGUAUUCAUGUACAUAAUAUGAGCUAAUUUGGCCAUCUUACUGCUUUUAAAAGCCCAGAAAGUACUAAGGGAAAGUACUAUUUGAAAUAAAUCGAUGUAAUUAUAGUGCAAAAUCGACAACUAUGAAGCCAAGCUAAAGCUGCCUACAACAAAACUGUAUCUCUCAAAAUCCUAUGUGCACUAAAUUAAGCAAAUCGCCUCGUGCAUUUAGUAAUGACAGUAAACAAGCAAUCCACAAUCCUCCACAACUGAGCCGACUAAUUCAGCAGACCAGAGAAGCAUAAUCACUGGAUAACUGAAAUUCCUAGUCACGGGAUGGCACGAGCUAAAGUUCACUGAAACGGAAGCAGAAGUGUUAAGCGGGUGACCUUUCGAGCGAGAGCUCCUUGCCCUGGAGGGAGAGGACGAGGUCGAGGUGUUCCCCCGCGCCCUUGGGGCCGCCGCCGCCGUCCAAGCCCAGCCUGGCGCACUUGAGCUCGCUCGGCCCCUCUCCGUCGCGAGGCGGCGAUCGGCUCCGCCGCCGCUUCCUCGCUGCGCCGGGGCCCGCGGUAGCGGCAGCCGUCUCCAUGGCGAUGGCCGUCGCGAGAGCGGAAGUGGAGGCUGGCUAGGGUUCUGGGUUUUUGGGACACGAUGCCGGCUAUUCCCUCGUCCCGUUUGAUUUCUCAGUGCUCAAAGACGCGCGCCGUGAAGUCCCCUGCCGCGCCCAACCAGUCUCCACAGCAACAGUACGAAUCUUAAAGCUGGCUAGAACCAGACCGGCUCACGGCGUGGAAUGAGAUAGUCCGGGCCCAACCCAACCCACAAUUCUAGGUCCGGAUUCCAGGUACAAGCUACAAACCCUAACCCAUCCAAAGCAAUGGAGGCUGGAGCGGAAGGGGAGAAGACGAUGACGACGAGGGAGCCGCACGAGGCGUCCCGCCGCGAGCGCGAGGGGCGCGACUCGCACGGGAGGCGCCCCCACUCCUCGUCCAGGUCGCGGAGGGACGACCCCAGGUACCAAUCCGCUGCACCUCCGUCGGGAUUCUCGAUCUGGUUGCGAUUUGGUUUGGAUUAGAAUGCUGGUGUUUGGGGGGAUCGGGAAUUGUUUCUGCGACUUGCAAUUUCUUAAAGUUAAUGCGAUUUGUAUCCUUAUUAACCCAUUUUCGCAAUCGCUUUUGGUAGCCCGAGGAGAAGAAGAGAUGACAGGAGGCAUGAAUCGGAUAGGGCGCACUAUAGAAGUCGAGAUGAAGAAUCUGCGAAGGUGUCGGACCGUGAUCAGAAGCGGAACAGAGAUGCUGAGCAGCGCGAUGAUCCUCCGAAUGCUGAGUCGAAGUCAGUGAGUGAUGCCAAGAAUGACCCGUCCACCAGGCGUGAGAGAUCUCCUAGGGGAACCAAACGGUUUUCAGAGUCGAGAGAGGCUUGGCGGCCUCGGCCUUUCUUUCAGGUUUUUAUCUUUUCUCCAUUUAUAAAAGGGCACAACGCCAAUGGCUUGUGCUCUGUUUCAAAUGGUUUGAUGCUAUAGCCUAUAGUGUGCUUAUACUAUAAUGGCCUGAAUAACCUUUUGCAUUUGCAUUGUUAGAGAGCUGUCAUAUUAAAUUGCUGAACAGCAAGGUAUUUCACGUUCUGUAACCUGACCUGUGCUGGAAAUGUACCUAGCAGAUUAGUGUUAGGUAGAUCCAUUGGUCAAUACUUGCUGGUCAUGCCGAGUGCAUCCUGAUUAUGACAGCUCAGCUCAGGCUGUGCCGAGUGCCAAGUGGCUGCCCUAUCUGUUGAAAAGAACCAACGCCACAUUAUUUACUGCCUUUGUAGGGAGUAUUGUCGAAUAGGCAAAUAGUGCUUUGAUAUCGUUAAUGGCAUUUAGUCUACAUUUGCCAGUAUUCCCUGUUGGUGUUAUUCUGAAUAACUGCUAUGUAUUAAUGUUCAGUCGAAUUCAGGGGCUAGGGAGUAGAGAUGAUUCCAAUGUAAACUUUAUCUGUUAAGAUCAAGAAGUGAUUUGCCAUUUUAUAGAUGUUCCCUAUUCUAAUCAACAACCUUAGAUAAAUUUGAUUUGAGGACAUGAUAGUGCUGUUUCUUGCUGGUUUGAAUGGGAAGUACAUCAGAUACUCGUGUUACUUCUUGCUGGUUUGGAUGAGGAGUACUGAAGUACAUCACUAUUCUUUCUCAUAAGUAGAUUAUGCAAUUGCAACUUAUUUUAGUUUAUAGUUGAAGUUCAACUGUUUAAACAGGCUAAGCUAUUUCUUUCGUACACAUACAGUCUCUUUGUGACUCUUGUUGAUUCUCAUCUCUAGCCUACCCCAACUUGAUUGGGAUUAAAAGGCUUUGUUGUUGCGUACAUAUAGUCUCGUUAUAAAAUGGAUCUGUGUUAUCAUAGCUAGAUAGUAGAAUCGACAUGUGAGCUGAUCAGCUCAAAUUACUGCCCCUUUUUUCCAUACAUAAGUUAUGCACUAUAAUUUAAGCUCUAUUUGUCAUUUUGCAGAAAUCUAUCGCUGGCCUAUUUCAGUGAUUUAAUUUCAUCUAAUGCAGUUUGUGCAUAAAGAAUAAUAAGUUGUUGCUAAAACUAUACAUUUUUCUGUUAAUUUGUCAUACAUAAAUAACAUAUUCCUCCUGAUGUAGUGGGAGUACUUUUAUGACGCAUGCAUUCAAAUGAACUGUUUAUAACAAUGCUAGACUACCUGCACUUGUAUGUACAGCACAAUGAGCGUGGAAGUGCUGGGCAAGGUGGUCGGCGCUAUGACCGUCAGGCUAGUGGUGAGCUGCUUUCUUAGUUCAUACUUUGGGCACUUAUUUUCCAUCUUUUAUGCAUGCUAAUUUAUUAUUGUUGUUCUUAAGGCUACGGAAGACAGAGGGAUCAAAAGGAACAUGAUAGAGAUAAACAAAAGGAUGCGGGGCACAGUUUGCAGGGAAAGGUUGAGCAGGAUGAUGGUGAUUCUACAUGGAGGCAUGAUGGAUUUUUCCAGUUGGAGGAAGAAGCACCCCUGGCCAAGAAGAGGCCACCUUUUCAGGAGAUGAAGAUGCAAGACUCUGCUGCCACUGUUACAGAUCUGGACUCUGGAUCAAGGAAACCUGAUCAGCCUGGGCCCACUUCUGCAAUAAGAGAAGAAAGGAGAAAUUAUCACCCAAGGGGAUUUGGAAAUCAUAGACCAUUUAUAAGGCCAGAUGAUCGAGGUUUCAGACGUGGAUUUCCUGACCACAGGAGUGAAGGCCAGAGAAAUGGGUAUGAUUCAAGGGGAAGAUUUCCUGGUAGGGGAGGAAUGGACAGAGACAGGUUUAUCAACCCAUAUGGUGGGAGAGGCAACAUAUAUCAUCAGACUUCUGGUGAUCAAGAAGAAAAAUGGAAGCAUGACCUCUAUGAUCAGUCAAACAGGAGCCCACCUCCAAAGACCGAGGAAGAGCAGAUUGCUAAAGUUGAAGCGUUGUUGGCGCUGUAGUUAUCUUCUCUAUCCGUCUGGAGUUAUUUGUGAUGUUAGAUCAUCAUGUAUUUGGUUUCAUCUUUGUUGAACGCUGUCCUUUUAUUCUAUAUAUUUUGCGUAUCUAUGGGGAUUAGGACAUCGUUGAG
rnacentral:lncRNA from 1 species